UACGUAGGGUGCAAGCGUUAAUCGGAAUUACUGGGCGUAAAGCGUGCGCAGGCGGUUUUGUAAGGCUGGCGGGAAAUCCCCGGGCUCAACCUGGGAAUUGCGAUGGAGACUGCAAGGCUAGAAUCUGGCAGAGGGGGGUAGAAUUCCACGUGUAGCAGUGAAAUGCGUAGAGAUGUGGAGGAACACCGAUGGCGAAGGCAGCCCCCUGGGUCAAGAUUGACGCUCAUGCACGAAAGCGUGGGGAGCAAACAGG
rnacentral:rRNA from 1 species